UACUUUUCCCUUUGCAAUUAAUCUCUGUAACCUUCACUAUUUUCUGACUUGUCCUUGAAUUCACUCUUGCGAUGGUAUCAAGAGCCUGCACAGUGGCUGCAGUCAAGGUCCCACCAGCAUUUGGGGACCUCCCCCAGCCCGCUGGUAUCAAAAGUACCAGUUUGUUAGCCUCAAAGCAACCCUUCACAACUUGGCUUUCUUUUCAUCCUCAUUUCUUACCACUGUGGAGGCCUAGAAGUUUACUGGCAUAUAAGAUUUCACAGAUAGGGAAGCCUCUGGUCCAGAGAAGCUCCAAAGAGUGGCCCCUUGGAAUUGUGGAUGUCAAGGAGUUCUGAAGUGGGAACACUGGCUGAGCUAAUCAAAGAGUGGUGGCAAGAGUUUGGGGUAGAGAGCAAAACUGUGACCCAGAUACAUUAUACCUCAUAAAUAUUGGAGAGCAAGGCCCAUGUGAAUAUAACUUCAUUUACCAAGUAAGUAAUGUGUUCCAAGCACUGUCCUCAGAGAUCUUUUAAUUGCAUAAAUGAUAUUAUACCUUUACUUAAAAUCAUUGUGUCUAAUGACAUUUUAAAUGGAAGUAAUGAAACUGUGCCACAAAGAGUUAAAGACACCAUAACUAACAGAAAUUCUUGAGUUUGCAGGAUGGCAGAUAAGAGAAACAACUUGCUGAAACACUGAAAUUCCCUCCAUUUGUAAGAUCAUGAAGCUGGCUGAAAUCAGUUGGAACCAAUAUGACCGACUGGAGUCUGCACAAAACAAGCCUGCUGACAUCACAGCCUGAAUUUCCACUGCAUGUUUCAUACUAACUCAUUUUUGAAUAUGCACAUGGGACCCACGAAGUAGCAUGAAGAGUGCUCCUUGCUGCCACCAUAUGAAGAAGGAUGUGUUUGCUUCUCCUUCCACCAUGACUGUAAGUUUCCUGAGGCCUCCCCAGCCCUGCAGAAUUGUGAGUCAAUUAAACCUCUUUUCUUUAUAAAUUACCCAGUCUCAGGUAUUUUUUCACAGCAGUGUGAGAAGAGACUAAUAUAGUAAACUGGUACCAGUAGAGUGGAGUGCUGCUAUAAGGAUACCUAAAAAUGUGGAAGCGACUUUGAAACUGCAUAACAGGCAGAGGUUGGAACAGUUUGGAGGGUUCCAAAGAAGACAGGAAAAUAAGGAAAAGUUUGGAGCUUCCCAGAGACUUGGGAGGCUCAGAAGACAGGAAGAUGUGGGAAUGUUUGGAACUUCCUAGAGACUUGUUGAAUGGCCUUGACCAAAAUACUGAUAGUGAUAUGGACAAUGAAGUCCAGGCUGAGGUGGUCUCAGAGGGAGAUAAGAAACUUGUUGGGAAUUGGAGUAAAAGUCACACUUGCUAUGCUUUAGCAAAGAGACAGGUGGCAUUUUUCCCCUGCCCUAGAGAUCUGCAGAACUUUGAACUUGGGAGAGAUGACGUAGGGUACCUGGCAGAAGAAAUUUCUAAGUGGUAAAGUGUUCAAGAAGAAGCAGAACACAAACGUUUGGAAAAUUUGCAGCCUGACAAUGUGAUAGAAAAGAAAAACCCAUUUUCUGGGCAGAAAUUUAAGCCCGUUGCAGAAAUUUGCAUAGGUAAUGAGGAGCCAAAUGUUGAUUCCCAAGACAAUAGGAAAAAUGUCUCCAGGCUAUGUCAGAGACCUUCACAGCAGCCCCUCCCAUCACAGGCCUGGAGGCCUAGGAGGAAAAAAUGGUUUCAUGGGCCGGGUCCAGGGCCUCCCUGCUGUAUGCAGCCUCAGGACUUGGUGCCCUGUGUCCCAGCUGUGGCUAAAAGGGGCCAAGGUACAGUGUGGCCAUGGCUUCAGAGGGUGCAAGCUCCAAGCCUUGGCAGCUUCCACAUGGUGUUGAGCCUGCAGGUGCACAGAAGUCAAGGACUGAGGUUUGGGAACCUCUGCCUAGAUUUCAGAAGAUGCCUGGAUGUCCAAGCAGUAGUGUGCUGCAGGAAUGGAGCCCUUGUGGAGAACCUCUCCUAGGGCAGUGCAGAAGGGAAAUGUGGUGUGGGAGCCCCCACACUGAGAUCCCACUGGGGCACUGCCUAGUGGAGCUGUGAGAAGAGGACCACUGUCCUCUAGACCCCAGAAUGGUAGAUCCACAGAGAGCUUGCACCGUGUAUCUGGAAAAGCCACAGACACCCAACAGCAGCCCAUGAAAGCAGCCAGGAGGGGAGUAUAACCUGCAAAGCCACAGGGGUAGAGCUAACCAAGACCAUGGGAACUCACCUCUUAUAUCAGUGUGACCUGGAUGUGAGACCUGGAGUCAAAGGAGAUCAUUUUAGAGCUUUAAGAUCUGACUGACCCAUCGGAUUUCAGACUUGCAUGGGGUCUGUAGCCCCUUCAUUUUGGCCAAUUUCUCCCAUUUUGGAUAGGUGUAUUUACCCAAUGCCUGUACCCCCAUAGUAUCUAGGAAGUAACUAACUUGCUUUUGAUUUUACAGGCUCAUAGAUGGAAGGGACUUGCCUUGUCUCAGAUGAGACUUUGGACUUGGACAUUUGGGUUAAUGAUAGAAUGAGUUAAGAUAUUGGGGCACUGUUGGGAAGGCAUGAUUGUGUUUUGAAAUGUGACGACAUGAGAUUUGGGAGGGGCCGGGGGAGGAAUGAUAUGGUUUGGCUGUGUCUGCACCCAAAUGUCAUCUUGAAUUGUAGUUCCCAUAACCUCCACAUGUUGUGGGAGGUAAUUGAAUCAUGGAGGUAGUUACCCCUAUGCUGCUGUUUUUGUGAUAGUGAGUUCUCAUGAGAUCUGAUGGUUUUAUAAGGAGCUUUUCCCUCUUUGCUUAGCACUACUCCUUGCCGCCACCAUGCAAAGAACAAUGUGUUUGCUUCCCCUUCUGCCAUGAUUGUAGGUGUCCUGAGGCCUCCCAGCCCUGCAGAACAGUGAGUGAAUUAAACCUCUUUCCUUUAUAAAUUACUCAGCCUUGGGUAUUUCUUCACAGCAGUGUGAGAAUGGACUAAUAUAGCCUUCAUAUUCAGGUCCUAUAAAUUCUGCCCCAUCCUACAUCUCUGACUGCACUCUGUAACACCUCUCCCUUUCAUAAUGGCCUUUUCUCAGUCUCUAGAAAGUGCCAAGCUGCCUUAUUUCUGUAAUGCCCUCUAUCCUUUGCUCCUUUGCCUAAAUCCUACUUAUCCUUCUACUGUAACUUUAAAUGUCACCUCCUAACCAAACCUUUCUCCUAACCAGCUCACCACCAUCUAAAUUUUACUUCCAAUUAAACACUUGAUAUACUUUCUUUCAUAUCAGAUUUCAUCAUUGUGUUUAUGUAUUUACUUGUUUAAAGAAGAC
rnacentral:lncRNA from 10 species